UACGUAGGGGGCAAGCGUUGUCCGGAAUCAUUGGGCGUAAAGAGCGUGUAGGCGGCCCGAUAAGUCCGCUGUGAAAGUCCAGGGCUCAACCCUGGAAUGCCGGUGGAUACUGUCGGGCUCGAAUCCGGAAGAGGUGAGUGGAAUUCCUGGUGUAGCGGUGGAAUGCGCAGAUAUCAGGAGGAACACCGAUGGCGAAGGCAGGUCUCUGGGCCAUUACUGACACUGAGAAGCGAAAGCAUGGGGAGCGAACAGG
rnacentral:rRNA from 1 species